UGAGUGCGAGUUUCUACGGAAGCGAAGUUGGUGACGUCAAGCUUCCAAGAAAAGCCCUAUACCCGUUAAGGCAUGAUUACCUGUACCCGAAACCGACACAGGUGGGGUGGUAGAGAAUACCGAGGGGCGCGAGGUAACUCUCUCUAAGGAACUCGGCAAAAUGACCCCGUAACUUCGGGAGAAGGGGUGCCAGCGCGAGCUGGUCGCAGUGAAUAGGCCCAGGCGACUGUUUACCAAAAACACAGGUCUCCGCUAAGUCGCAAGACGAUGUAUGGGGGCUGACGCCUGCCCAGUGCCGGAAGGUUAAAGAAGUUGGUCAGCGCAAGCGAAGCUAACGACUGAAGCCCCGGUGAACGGCGGCCGUAACAAUAACGGUCCUAAGGUAGCGAAAUUCCUUGUCGGGUAAGUUCCGACCCGCACGAAAUGCGUAACGAUCUGGGCGCUGUCUCGGAGAGAGGCUCGGCGAAAUAGAAUUGUCUGUGAAGAUGCGGACUACGUGCACCCGGACAGAAAGACCCUAUGAAGCUUUACUGUAGCUUGGUAUUGUGCUCGGGCUCGCAAUGCGCAGGAUAGGUGGGAGGCUUUGAUCCAUUGCUUGUGGGUGAUGGUGAGCCACUGGUGAGAUACCACUCUUUGCGAGCUAGGGUUCUAACGGUUACCCGUCAUCCGGGAACCGGACAGUAUCUGGUGGGCAGUUUGACUGGGGCGGUCGCCUCCUAAAAGGUAACGGAGGCGCGCAAAGGUUUGCUCAGGCUGGUUGGAAAUCAGCCGACGAGUGUAAAAGCAGAAGCAAGCUUGACUGUGAGACCUACAAGUCGAACAGGGAGGAAACUCGGCUUUAGUGAUCCGACGGUUCUGAGUGGAAGGGCCGUCGCUCAACGGAUAAAAGUUACUCUAAGGAUAACAGGCUGAUCUCCCCCAAGAGUUCACAUCGACGGGGAGGUUUGGCACCUCGAUGUCGGCUCAUCGCAACCUGGGGCUGAAGUCGGUCCCAAGGGUUGGGCUGUUCGCCCAUUAAAGCGGUACGCGAGCUGGGUUCAGAACGUCGUGAGACAGUUCGGUCCAUAUCCGGUGCAUGCGCAGGAAUAUUGAGAGGAUUUCUCCCUAGUACGAGAGGACCGGGAGGAACGCACCUCUGGUGUACCAGUUAUCGUGCCAACGGUAAACGCUGGGUAGCCAUGUGCGGAGUGGAUAACCGCUGAAAGCAUCUAAGUGGGAAGCCCACCUCAAGAUGAGUAUUCCCAUGGCUUAAGCCAGUAAGGUCACGGGAAGAACACCCGUUGAUAGGCUCUAUGUGGAGGCGCAGUAAUGCGUGAAGCAGAGGAGUACUAAUAGACCGAGGGCUUGACU
rnacentral:rRNA from 1 species